rnacentral:misc_RNA from 1 species
GUGGUUCAGCUUCAAGCCAAAAGAAAUCCUCUGCCUAAAGAAUUCCUCUUAGAUCUUACUCCGGAAGGGCAACUCUGAUUUUCUCUAAUUCCAGGCGAUCAUUCUCACAGAUUACGGUAUUGCAAAUCCCAAAUUAUGGAAUUCAAUUCCUCCUCUCCCAAAACCAUCUCUGUGGUUUCCACUUUUGCCACUCCCUUCGACAAUAAUUCCCCUCCAGUCAACGGCACCCUCAAUUCUCAAACCCGCAAGCCAAUUGCUUUAUGGCCAGGAAUGUACCAUUCCCCUGUCACCAGUGCUCUCUGGGAAGCAAGGUCCAAGAUCUUUGAGAGGCUUCUUGACCCACCUAAAGAUGCACCUCCACAGAGUGAAUUGCUUACCAAAACUCCAAAGCAAAGCCGUACAAGCAUCUUGUACAAUUUUUCUUCUGAUUAUAUACUUAGAGAGCAGUAUAGGGAUCCUUGGAAUGAGGUCAGGAUUGGGAAGUUGCUCGAGGACCUUGAUGCUUUAGCUGGCACCAUUUCUGUCAAGGUACUAAUUACAUUCAUUUCCUCUUCUAUUUUUGCUUUCCAAUAAAAAAAUUGUAUCUGGGUUGUAAUUUAAAUUUCUUUGCCUGAAUUGGGUUUUUGGCAUGCUGUUGUGGUUAAUAAUGAAUUUUGAUUUUCAGUAGUAUGAUAUGCCAUGGCCUUGGUUUAGUUGUACCCUUGUAGGUUGAUCAGCUAAUGGAAGUCCACUUUUGUGCCUGAGGUUUUUGAUAAUUGUAGAGUAAUCAAUUUUGUGGUAGAAAUUGGUUCUGAUUUUCCAAUGUGGCACAGUUGUGGAACAAUCAGGUGCUUCUGCCUUUCCUUUAUUGAUUAAAUGUGUGUUGUGUAUUAGCACUGUUCUGAUGAUGAUAGCACAACAAGGCCACUCUUGCUUGUCACUGCUUCUGUUGACAAAAUUGUCCUGAGGAAGCCAAUCAGUGUUGACAUUGAUCUCAACAUAGUUGGUUCUGUUAUAUGGGUUGGCCGGUCGUCAAUUGAAAUUCAACUGGAAGUCAUUCAAUCCGCCAAAGGUAUUUAAUUUGCAAUUUGCUAUCACUCUGGAGAUUUGAUAUGGUUAAAGAAUAUAACAAAAAACUGUAACACCAGAAUUUGCCGUGACUGAGUCUGUUCUCGAGAUAAAACAAUAUUUGUUUUUUAUCUGACGGGUUCAGACUUUGUAGUUGUAUUUUAUAGUUGUUUAUAAUGUAAGAUUCACAUAACUUCCUAAAGAAAUCUUAUAUAAUUCAUUCAAUCAAAACUCUGCCAAUACAUAAUUUUGAAGCAUUUGGUGAAAGGAAAUGUGAGUUUUAAUUUCUGUCCUGUUAAAACGUAAUCAUUUUUAACUUGUACAUUCUCAAUAAUUGAAUUGAAUUUUAGAUUUUUUGUUUUCAUAUCAUCUAAAUAUUUUCUUUCAAGGAACAGAAAAAAAGAACUAAAGAAUGUUUUGCAGAGGGCUCUGAUACUUCAGACUCAGUAGCUUUGACGGCAAACUUUAUAUUUGUGGCCCGUGACUCCAAGACUGGGAAAGCUGCUCCAGUGAACCACCUGUCACCAGAAACUCAAGAAGAAAAGUUACUGUUUAAAGAAGCUGAAGCGAGGAGUAUACUGAGGAAAAGGAAGAGGGUAGAAGAGAGAAAGGAAUGUGAGAAUGGUGAGGUCAAUAGACUUGAAGCUUUGUUGGCUGAGGGAAGAAUCUUCUGUGACAUGCCAGCCUUAGCUGACCGAGGCAGCAUUCUUCUGAGGGAUACCCACCUUGAAAACUCUUUGAUUUGCCAGCCGCAGCAAAGGAACAUUCAUGGUCGAAUCUUUGGUGGGUUUUUGAUGCAUCGGGCUUUUGAGUUGGCUUUCUCAACUGCUUAUGCAUUUGCUGGAUUGGUUCCUUACUUUCUAGAAGUUGAUCAUGUUGAUUUCUUAAGACCAGUGGAUGUUGGAGACUUCCUGCGUUUGAAAUCAUGUGUUCUUUACACGGAACUUGAAAACCCAGAGCAGCCUGUGAUUAACAUUGAAGUUGUUGCUCAUGUUACCAGGCCUGAGCUGAGAUCAAGUGAGGUAUCAAAUACAUUUUACUUCUCUUUCACUGUACGUCCCGAGGCAAAAGCCACGAAGAAUGGAUUUAGGUUACGCAAUGUGGUUCCAGCAACGGAAGAAGAAGCACGUCGAAUCCUAGAACGCAUAGAUGCAGAGACCUUACAGACGAGCAAGGCAUAUACAAAUAAGAAAUGUCUUUAACCAUUUAAGAUACUGAAUUCUGAAUUAGGAACAACCUUCACACAACCCACACAUCACUCACUAACUCCCAUCCCACCCAAUAAAAGGUUACUAUAUUUUUAUUAGAAGUAGGGAUGAUAUAAGGUAUAUUCUGGUUAAAAUAAUUGUAGCCUUCAUAUUACAUUACAGGUGUAUGAACUCCCCACUUCAAAAUGAUCUCUGAUCUUGCAAGUUUGAGUUAGGGAUUUUAAGUUUCAUUGUUGGAGAGGGAGAAAAAUGAAGGUAAAAUAAAAUUGCUUUUUUUAGGUAUUUAAG